rnacentral:misc_RNA from 1 species
GUUACAAGUGCAUACUACCGUGGUGCUGUCGGGGCUCUUCUGGUUUAUGACAUCACCAAGCGCCAGAGCUUUGACCACAUCCCACGAUGGCUAGAAGAACUGCGCAACCAUGCAGACAAGAACAUCGUGAUAAUGCUGGUGGGAAACAAGACCGAUCUGGAGGACCAGAGAGCCGUUACCACAGAAGAUGCCAAGGAGUUUGCUCAGAAGGAAGGUCUCUUCUUCCUGGAAACAUCAGCUUUGGAAGCAAUCAAUGUGGAGGACGCCUUUCAGACUGUGCUGACUGAGAUCUUCAACAUCGUCAACAAGAACAACCUGGCUUCUGCCCCUCCAACUAAUGAUGCACCUCCGGCUCUGGCGGGGAAGAAGAUCUUAGUCCCUGGCCCUGCGCAGGUUAUACCAAAGAAGGCGUGCUGCUCUUCUUGAUCAUUCCAUGAGUUUGAGUUGUCUUU